GGACAAUGGGCGCAAGCCUGAUCCAGCCAUUCCGCGUGAGUGAAGAAGGCCUUCGGGUUGUAAAGCUCUUUCGCAAGGGAAGAAAACUUACUUUCUAAUAAAGAGUGAGGUUGACGGUACCUUGAUAAGAAGCACCGGCUAACUACGUGCCAGCAGCCGCGGUAAUACGUAGGGUGCGAGCGUUAAUCGGAAUUACUGGGCGUAAAGCGUGCGCAGGCGGUUUGGUAAGUCAGAUGUGAAAUCCCCGAGCUCAACUUGGGAACUGCGUUUGAAACUCCAAGACUAGAAUAUGUCAGAGGGGGGUAGAAUUCCACGUGUAGCAGUGAAAUGCGUAGAGAUGUGGAGGAAUACCAAUGGCGAAGGCAGCCCCCUGGGAUAAUAUUGACGCUCAUGCACGAAAGCGUGGGGAGCAAACAGGAUUAGAUACCCUGGUAGUCCACGCCCUAAACGAUGUCUACUAGUUGUUGGUGGAGUAAAAUCCAUUAGUAACGCAGCUAACGCGUGAAGUAGACCGCCUGGGGAGUACGGUCGCAAGAUUA
rnacentral:rRNA from 1 species